AGAAGAUCAGAAGAAUAAAUUCAAAUACAACUCGCAAUGGAGAAGUUUUUUAAAACGAAAAAAUGAAGACAAAAGUGGUGCCAAUUCCCCUCAAAAGUCUACAUUUUUAGCUCACCGUCUCCUCCCCCGCCGGGCUGAGACUUACAGCGUGAGAGUAGGCGCCAUAGGCCCCAAACUGGAUGGUCAUGGGACUGAAGAUGCCUAGCUGACCCGCCAUCUGGUGCAUCCUACGAAGGGUCCUCUCCUUGUCCGUGUCUGCGAAUUUGACCACCAGGCUGGACGAGGCCCCCUAUAGUUUAGAUAAAAUCACCAACUGUUUCCGAAAGGCUGGACUACUGCGUGAUGAAGAGGACAGUACAAGCUCAAGGGCUACUUUGCAAAACUGACACCAAGAGUGACAACGAAAGAGAAAGGGACAAAGUGUGACGAAGGAACUGUGAGGCUGAAAAGUUUCUGGUAAGCUACUGUUUAACUAGCCGUAUUACAUUGAUCUACUUAGAAGUUAAAAAAAUAUUUUUGUGUACUAAAUAUUUAUGUGGGCACUUGAUUUUGUGUGUACUUGCAAGACCGUAUGAAAACCCGGGCAAAACUGGGGCAUCUGGGAACUAUUAGAAUCUAUACAGUUUUUUUUGUGUGUCUGAUAACGCAAACUCGUGUAUAGGUUCAUGUAAAUAUAUCAAGUAUAUCAAAUCAAGGACAGGAAACACAUUUUUCAAAAAGCGCUUCAUUUUGACACAAAGAUGGAGUCAAAGUUUUGCAAAGGAAUCAUUGACUUUGACUACAUAUCAGUGCUAUUUAGUAUUAUUGUUAUACUUUCAGGUUUAGUCGAAUAGCUUCUCAAGACCUUCUUGACACACACUCACGUAGCACAACCAAAGCUACGGUACUGAUAGAAACACACUGGAAGAA